GUGGGAGCCUCCUCGCCCAGCCAGCCUUGUUCUAACAGCCUGCACUGACCCUGGCCGACUCUUCCAGAUGACACUGGUUGGAGAGGGCAGUCGGGAGGGGCAGUAUCAGGCUUCAAGCUGUGUGAAAGGGGAAGUUUUGCCCAGCAGCAAAUUCUCUCUGGAUUAAGAGCGUGGUGAUUGGCAGCCACAGUGAACUAGAGAGACGCGUCCUCCAGGGAAAGCCUACACCUCCUCCAAGGUGACCUCAGGAAAACAGCCUGGAUUCUGCAAUCACUGACUCACUGAUGAAAAAUCCAGGUGAAAAGAAAGGCGGGGCUUUCCUGCUGCCUUCAGUCUGGAGAUCUCAUUCCAGCUUCCCGCUGGGCACAAGGCGGGGUGGUGGAAGGAGCAGUUUUUGCAGGUGAAGAACGCUGGCCUCAUUGUACAGUCCCUGAAGGAGCCAUGUCCCUCUAACCUCUUCCACCCAGGAGGAUGACCCAGCAGCAGCGGAGCCCAUGCGGCAAACCCGCCACACCCAUGCACGGCAGGGCUGCGUCCAUCUCAAGCCAGCGCCCCGAGUCAUCCACAGGAACACCGCCAAUGCACUCCCAGCCAGCCCCUCUGUCCUCCUGGCCUCCCUGAGAGGCUGCUGGGGGACGUCCCACCUCACAGCAAGGAAGGAGUGCCUGUCUUUGUCCAAAAUCGGUGCG